CCUACGGGCGGCAGCAGUGGGGAAUUUUGCGCAAUGCUCGUAAGAGUGACGCAGCGACGCCGCGUGAAUGACGAAGGCCUUCGGGUCGUAAAGUUCUUUCGACAGGGAAGAAAAUGCCUAUAAGUAACUGUGUAUGUAUUGACGGUACCUGUAUAAGCAGCCCCGGCUAACGCCGUGCCAGCAGCCGCGGUAAUACGGAGGGGGCGAGCGUUGUUCGGAGUGACUGGGCGAAAAGAGCACGUAGGCGGUGUUGUAAGUCAUUAGUCAAAGACUAGAGCUCAACUUUAGUAAGGCUAGUGAUACUAUAAUACGAGAGUAUCAGAGAGGAUUGCAGAAUUCCUGGUGUAGCGGUGAAAUGCGUAGAUAUCAGGAGGAAUACCGUUAGCGAAGGCGGCAAUCUGGCUGGAAACUGACGCUGAGGUGUGAAAGCGUGGGUAGCAAACAGGAUUAGAUACCCGGGUAGUC
rnacentral:rRNA from 1 species